UUUUUUUUCUGAGAGCUUGAGCAUGUCUCUUAUGAAGAAACAUUGAGGAAGCUGGGCUUGUUCAGCUUGGAGAAGACAAGGCUCCAGGAGACCUCACUGCUUCUUUCUGGUACUUGAAGGGAACUUACAGGGUAAUAAAGAAUACCAUGAGAAAAGCUCCCAAAGGAGAUUGAGUUUGGAAUCCCCUAAGCAGAAGGGAGUAUUCCAUGUCCUGUUCCCUUUUCACUGAGUGCAGCAGAAAAAGAGUCAUCUUCUUCCUCUUGAUCUAUAUGGGUCUUCCCUUUUAAUUCCAGCAGACUUUAAAAAAAUACAAGUACCUUCCAUGAGAGUAAAAUCUUGAUAAAUCAAGAUAAAUAACAGCAACAACAAAAGCUUGUUUCUAUUUGAUGUUAGCAAUUUUUCAUCUGGCUUUCAUAAGAAAAAAGCUAUCACAACUUCAGAGUCUACUGGCUUAGACGUGGCUGCCCAAUUACCAUAAUAAGUUUGUAUGUUAGUGCAAAAAGGAAAGAAAAUAUAUUGAAAAAAAUAAUGAUCUUAUAUAACCACAAAGAAAAUAUUGAGAGAAAAAGAAAAAACUGAAAGAAAUAGCAGUCUUCAAAACUGGGAGCAGUUUUUGUAUGCUUGCUUCCACAACCUCAUAUAUGUAAUGCCAUGCUUAAUUAAAAAAAUAAAAUGUUGAAAAAUAUAAAUUUUUAUUUGUCACAAAGUAACAUUUAGAGUAGCCCUAAAAAGAAAAAGCAGCAAGUAUGUUCUUACAGACAUAUACAUGAAUACAUGCAUAAAUAUUGAUAUAUGAAUUUAAUUUUUGUUCAGAGCAUAAAUGUACAGCAGACCAGAAGUUCCGAAAAGCUUUGCUUUUAUGCAUACUCUCUAUGUACUCUUACAUGUAUUAUUAGAUCUGUAGUAUGAGUUUAAGGCUUGAUAUAUCACAGUAAAUGGUAUCCCUAGAGGUCACUGUUUUUCUAGAUGAAUAUACAUACUUGCAGAAUUAGUGGGCACUAAGGAUAUGACCCUUAGAAGUGGAAUAUACAAAAAUAAUUUCUAGAUAAUUGAGCACAGUGGUAGUUCUACUAAAUAGGAUGCUACUUACAGUGCAUGCUGUUUCCAAAUUACUUGACUACUCUACAGAUUUAGAUAAGGAUUUAUGUUUUCAUAGGUAAUUAAAGAAUUACAUUUCUUAGGAAACCACAACCCCUGGAAAAAAAAAACAAAACAAAACAAAACCAAAAAAAAAAAAACAAACAACCACCCGUGUUUCAUCCGUGUUUCAUUAGAGAAAACUUUGUAUAUAUAUAUACUUCAAUUUUAGACACCAGGUAGUAAAACAAUUUCUCUUGGUGCCCAUAAUUUGAAAUAAAAGAAAAUAAAAUUUCUUAUUCUAAUUUCUUAUAUAGAAAUGACCAAGCAUGAACAAGAAAAACAUAUCCCCUUUCAUUUCUACCUUUCUUUCCUUUUUUUUUUUUUUUUUUUUUUUUUAAGGUAGAGAUGUUAUUGAUGUUCUCAGUCCUGUUUAAUCUGGAUCAUUCUUCACUUCAUACAGUCAUACAGUAUUUCAUCUUUCCCAUCAUGGUCAGUCACAUAUCUAGUAUCUCCCAUCAUCUUCAGCAUGGGAUUCAUGUAUUCAGCGUCUGUCAUGCCAGUGACGCAGGCAGACUUUUGACAAAUACUCAAAUAAGGCUUAAUGGCAAUAGACAUGUAAGAAAUAGAGUGUAAUUUUUAAAAACAUUUAUCAUCAACCUUGUUGUACUUUGGCCCCCAAAAUUGAUAUUAAUGAGAUGCUUUGUAAAUGUUGCAUGCUACAUGAACUGGUUAGGAUUAUUUCUUUUUCCUUAUGAAACAAAUGAAUUCUAAUUAAAAAUUAAAACUCAAUUAUUUCACCCCCAUCUUCGAGAUGUUACAUUUGAAAUUAGAAUAUUUGUUUCUGAAAUGCUCAUUGGUGACUUAUCCACAAACUCCAUGUUUCCCUUCUGGGUCUUUCAUUAUCACCCUGAGAUUUUAGAAGGCUAUUCCUCUUGCUGAAAAUUUUGCCCCGUCAUUGAAUUCACAGAAUUAGUACUUGACUGACAAUCAUGACUUUAUUGAUGACUUUAUUGAUGAUGAUCAUGAUGAUUGAUGACUUUAGCAGAGAGUAGGGGAGUACCAUGCAAUCAAAGCAGGUUUUCUUGCAAAUCAUGUCUUUUCUAUUCUUGUAUUUUCUCCUCUUUAGGAGAAUUAUUUAUUACUAUCUUAUCAAAGUGUAAAGAUUAAUUUCAUAGUAUUGUUUGAAUGUUCAAAUAUGAUGCUUUACCUACCCAUUGAGAGUGCUUAUUAAUGAACUUGCAAAAAUUUCAUGAGGUCAAGAUAAAGAUCCCGGUGUGUAUAUAUAUUGUUAAAGAGAUGAGCAUACUUCACAGACUGAUUGCAUAAUUUAAAAUAGGACUUUCUAAAAAUGGCAGAAGAGUCAGAGUGAACUGCUGAAGUUCAACUUUCUUAGCUUUUAAAGGAAAUGGAGACAUUUACUUAUUAUUGGCAAUAGCCAGUAAGAACACCUUCAGUGACAAAAUGCUUUUUUAAGAGGAUUAACAUUUAAAGAGCCUUAAUUGAUGAUCUGAAGCUAAUGAAGAAGUGCAAGUGGAAUAUUACCCUCCAAGCGUCUUGCUGCUGGUUGUUAUUUUUAAGGUAAUGUUUUGGAAGUCAAGAAGAUAAAGUGUGUUUUGAUUUAAAGGCCAUAGUCUUUCUAUUGUGUCAGUCAACCGCAUUAAGAUCAUUUUGUUUUCAAUUAUUGUCUUCCAUUGAUCACCAUUAUCACCCAUCAACCCCUGAACAAAUAUCACAUUGUCCAUCUUCCCAGGCAAGUACUGUAAUUACUCAAUAACUGCAAUAUUGAUUCUGGAGAACUGAGUCUUACUGGCUGGCAUUCUGAGCUGCUUACUAACUCAGAAUUGCAUCAGUCAGAUAGAGUUGUUUUUAAUGUAGUUCCAAGCAAGAAGUAACUCAAAUUAAAUUUAAAGUUUUCUCUCAUUAUUUGAUGCCCAGAGUUGCUAAGAUUGUAUUCUUUAAUCAGAUUUGAUAUCAUGUGUGAACUGAAAGCCUCUAGCUUUGUAAAAUUUUAGCUGCAGACCCUAGAGUAAGCAGAGGCAUAUCAGAGGGUGCACAGCUCCUUUAUAACUACAACUGCAAUAUAUUACCAAGAUGUCAUUUUGUGAAACAACAAAACCAAUGAAGAACACUCCCAGAGUAGAGCAAUACAUUCAUAUCCAUAGUCAGUACACAGACAGUGCUUACAACUUCUCAUCUAUGAAGCUGUUUUCUCACUCUCGUCUCACAGAUCUUUCUCAUUUCUGCAAUGUUUCCAAUAGCAAGCAAACAGCCCAAAUCACAUUAUUAGAAUAGAAAUCAGUCUAUGCAGCACUUGCAUGUAGUAGGAUGUAAAAUCCAUUUGUAAAAAGUCUUAUUGCUUUGCCAAUUGUUCUGAAGUAAAUUAAAAGAAUCCCAUCAAAGAAUGUCUAUAGAUAUAACACUGAUAAUUUAUUAUAACCAGGAAACUGGAAUGCACCCCAAAUACAGACUUGAUGACUGCAACUGACUUGAUCAAGUCCAUGACACAGAGUGUUGAAUACGAAUCUGCUGUUACUAGACCAAUUGCUUUCUGAUUUUUGUUUCCAUUAAUAGACCAUUGAACUCUUGACUGCUCACAGCAGUACGAUACAUGACUGGAUGCAGAAAGAGUGUGUGGGAUAAUAGCCAUUUAGUGGGACCUGCUUGUUGUGGUUUCUUUUUAUAAUGUUUGCUGCUGUCAUAUAAUCUGUGUGUAUGAGAAGUUAGAACUAUUUCUUUCUACUUUGUAGGAAAGCUUCAUCAGUCUGCUGAGGACUGAUUUAAAUGUUAGCUUGGCAGGUUGCCUGUAUUUCAGGCUCUCCACUAUUUCUCUUUGUUUUUUCCCUCUUCCCAUUUCCCCUACAUACUCUUUACCCUCACUGAUUGCAAGUGGCACUCUCUGCACAUUUAGAUCAGCUGACACAUAGAACUGUUUGGUCUAACAUUUUCCAUUACUUCUUAAACACAAAGAUGACUAUAAUAGCUCUGAAUCUGAGGACAAGAAAUAAAUAUACUAACAAAUACACGCUGAAAUGGACAACUCAGUAUUGCAAGCUCAGUCAUAAUCUUCAUGUUGUGCUUUUAUUUUCUAUCAUAAAGAGCAAAUCUUAUAUUACUAUACUAGUACAAAACUGAUGCAGUACUGACAAAGCAAACCUUGAGACUGUAUCCUGAUUUGGAGGAUUUUGCACUUAGAAGCCAUCACAGAAGUCCCUUAAUUAUGGUGUCUAUAUAUAUACCAUCCUUAAGGGCAUCUAAGAGAAGCAAAGAAGAUCUUACAGGUAAUAGCCAGAGUUUUCCAAUGUUGCUUUUACCAUGUCACGUUCAGUUACAGUUAGAAAGAAGAUGGUUAGAAGUAAUUCAGAGGUUAGAAAUGAUUAUGUCUGUAAACAAUCAUAUUCAGAGGGAAAAUAAUUUACAAUAAUGGAAAAAGAAACCCUGAAUUUCCUUUUCAUUUCAAAAGGAGGGUUCUUUGUAUUUGAAAUCUGUCUUCAGAGUACAGCUGCCACUUUGGAAAUCUCUACAGUGCAGGAAACUAAUGUAAGUGGGAUGACUCCAGUCUUUUCCUUUGUAUUCAGGUGAUCACCAUAGCAGGAUUACAGAAAGGGACAUGAGAAAAAGCAUAGAAGCAGACCAAAUUAUAUAUCAGCUCAUUAUGUACUUUGGUUCCAGUGAGUUCAAUAGUGGAGAAGUGAAAUAUAUCACUCCUGGAGGACAGAUUUGGACCAGUCUGAGCCCAGGAUUUUUCACUAAAGUGUUUACUGUACAACAGCACUAUGGAGCUUCUGAAUUCUGGGAUGCUCCUGUGUGGGAUCUUGACUGUUCUCACUCUUGCUGUAUCUUCAACUCUUAUUUUUUUCUUGCUUUUUUAAAAUUAUUUUUUAAUUCAUUUUUAGUUGCUUUGCCUUACAUUGCGUAGAUAGUAAGGUGUGAUGGUCUGUGAAUUUUUCAGGGGACUAACGUACUCUUAGGGUAAAUUACUGAAUUUGCACAUUAUUAGAAAAUGACUAAGCUGUCUUAGUCCAGCUGAAUUUCUGCUCAGUCUCAGAAGGCAAUCUAGCUCCUAGCAGCAGCUGAGUUGGCAAGGCUGUUACUGCUGGAAAGUGCUCAUCUUAAAUUUUGCAGAAGCCAAUGACUUCUGAAUCUGUAGAGCCUGAACCCAGCAAAACAUGGUAAACCUUAGCAGCUGCCACUCAGUCACAAAUCUGCAGGCUCCAGCUCACAGCUUCUACUGAGUGCAAAACUUAUCAAGAUGUAGGUGUCCUCAUCUCUCAGGAUUGAUACAUCAUCUCAAGUUCAGGAGAAACUUCAAAACCAGCAAAAGCUGGAAUCUCAUUCUUGCCCCAACAAUGCCUGCUAGUUCCCACUGAGUUCUAGCUCAGCAGGAGAUGGGAGAGAAGCAAAAUACUUAUAAUCAGAAUGAGUGAGUGACUCUCAGCUCCUGCUGUGCUGAGAACCUCACAAAUGCUUUUUUCCCUUAUCAUUCAGGUAAUGCUAGAAUUCUGCAGUGCACUGAUAACUUACACAAACUCCUGCUGAAAUAAAAAGAAAUCUUUCCACUUAUUUCAAAACUCCAUAUGUGAGGUCAUACAUCUUGGCUAAAUCAGAUUGUGCGUUAAAACCCCGCUAUUAGAUAACAAUUUUUUUUUCUUUUUCAUCUGAAGGCAUCACUUUCUAGAAGAAAGUGACAAUAUUGGAAGUUAUGAACCUCAAAAACACUUGAAGUUUCUGGGUAUGUAUGUAGGAACAGUUUAAAAGGAAGAUAACAUGUUAAAUCACAUGGAUAUUCAGAUGACUGCAUUUGGAGAAUAGUCUUACCCCACUUCCAUAUGAAGAUGACUGCACAUAAGGUAAUAUUUCUCCUUGAGCAAACAGAGUGAUAUAUAACAUAUUUUAUAUAAUAUCCUAGCUGGAAAGUCAACCAGAAAGACAAUUAAUACUGGUAUUACUAUUAUUAUACUAUUAUUUUUAUUUGACAGUUUUGAAGUUUGGAAUUGCUCUAAAUGAGCUUCUUUUCUUCUUUUUCUAAUGCUCAUAUCAACAUGCAUAUAUUACCUGGUUGUCAUCAGUGCUGAAGAAGGUAGGUAAGAAAUUCAUCCUAAGAAAAGUGUUUUGUUUUCAUUUUCUACUAUAAUAGAAUGCUUAAAGACACCUUUAAUGUAUCUCAUUACUCUGAGAGACUCAAACUGACUACACACUUCAAAUUUAGAGAACAUGUCCAUCCACAAAGAUCUUAGAUUUUAAUGAAUAAAGGAAAUUUUUUUUGGCAGUUAAGAUAUCACUGGAGAGUUUGUGAGAGGGGAAGUUGCUAUAGGUUUUGUAAUUAAAACCAGUAAAAUAUUGCUGUUUCACAAUCAAAAACACAUUCCUUUACUUAUAGUUCUGGUUCACUUCUAAGGAAAUAAAAUGAGUGAUAGCUUUCACUAUUCACUGAGAAACUCCUUUCUAAGUGGAAAAGAAAAUAAUCUAUACGUACUGCACAUUUUACAGUAUUCCUAAUGUUAGGGCGGGUCCAAAAGUAAUGCCUCCUGUUUUAUGAUGUUGGCCCACAAUGUCAGAGGCAGAUGUUUGUGGAAUGACUGUAUAGGUUGAACUUUCCCACCAGUAUUCUGUUACAUUUUGUUUCCAUGUGAUAUAUAGCAGCAAAGGGGCAGUCAGACAGAACGAUAUCUGACAUGGAAGUAUACAUGAAGCAAAGGUAUGUCACUGAAUUCUUCCAUGCAGGAUAACUUGCACCCAUUGAUAUUCAUUGAAGCUUGCAGAAUGUUUAUGGAGACCAAACAGCAGAUAUGAGCAGAAUAGGGGGGUGGGUGAUGCAUGUUAGCAAUGGCAACAAGGAUGUGAAAGAUAAGUCACAUUCCUGGUGUUCCAUGCAUAGCAUCACAUCACAAAAUGAGAAGUGUCUCAAUCAUCUCAUCCACAUGAAUCAGCACAUUAUGACCAGAGAUAUGUGUACAGAGGUGAAUACCAGCUUCAAUACAUUGGAAAAAAAAUGGUUGUAAUAUUGGAAUAUUGCAAAGUUCACACCAGUUGGGUCCCAUAAGUGCUCACACAAGAACAGAAAGAAAACUGUAGGCAAAUUUGUCAGGGCCUUUUGAACCUGUUCAAGACUGAGGGUAACUUUUUUCUUGAUUGCAUCAUUACCAAUGAUAAGCUGUGAUGUCACCUCUAUGAGUCAGAAUAAAAAUGGUAGUCUAUUUAGUAGGGACAUGUGAAUUCCCCACCAAAGAUGCAGCCCUCAGUAGGUUAAGGGAUAUGCAGUGUCUUUUAGGAUAGGAAAGGGGUGAUCUUUCUGAAUUUCCUGGAGCUAUGUCUGCAGUUAUUUUAUUCUUAGAUUUCUUUCUUUCUUUCUUUCUUUUUUUUUUUUUAUGACUGGCACCUUAAGAUCUUUGCUAGUGAUGAUACUGUGUUGCUUAACUCAGCAUUAUGGCAUAGGAAUGCUUAAUUCUGUGACGUAAUAUUUCAUUCUUUUCUAGAAAAUAUAAGUGUAAGAAGAGCAGUUAUAAAAAUGCUGCAUGUUGUUAAAUCACUGCACCACCUCAUUGCAGAGGUGGCAUUUCAUUGAUGCAUUAAGUGACUCUGAAGUAUUGGUGGAGUAGAUAUGAUUCUUUAUGGUUUUGGAACACCUUUAGAAUACUCUUUGAAGCAAUAUAUGUAAACAUAAGUGGCUACUGCUACCAUUCUGAGAGAAAACUCUAACUUAUUCUUAACUACUGCAAUAGAAAACAUGGAGUUUCUAUCUGUUUUUUAGACAACUCUGCUGCAUGAGACCUGGAGAAAAUUUGUAAUGCUAAUCAAACACUAUCUAGAGUAUAGCAAAAUUUCUCAUAUAUUGAGAGUUGAUCUGAAAGUAUAAAGUCAGUGCAUCCAAAUACCCUUACACAUUUAUGUAUUUGAGUGCACUGACUAUUGCAUCAGGUUUUGAAACUGUAAACUUUUAAUAAACUGGUUAUUGACAUUAAUAGCCUCUUCUUUUUUUAGCCAACAAAUAUGAUCUGAUGAAAAUCUGAAAAAGGAUUUUAACUGUUCAGCUCCUGAAAACUGUUAAUGCCUACAAAAUAAAAACAAUUUUUAAGCUUAUAGCAUGUCUUCUUUAAGUAGAUGUUAUUGUGCCACAGAAAGUUAAUGCCAAUUUACUCAUGCUGCUUUCUUCUGCAAUAAAUGUGUAAGAAAUAAAUAUGAACAUAUUUUCCUUUUGCAUUUAUUAGAGCUAUUAUAUAUUCAAACCAGUUCCAAGGUAAUUGCUUCUCUGCACUGCAGAAACACUUAAAAAUUUAGUGCAGUAGGGUGGGAGAAGGAUUCAAUUUAUAUGGUGGCUAAAGGAAUUACAAUCAAUGCUAAGUGAUGUUGGACAGUCAUAGCAAUUUGUAUAGCAGUUUGAAUGAUCAGGAUGUAGAUAUAUGCUGUAAGGAUUUUAGACCAAAAGUUGUUGGACAUGCUCACACUGAGAGAUCUUUUCUGUUAAAAGUCAGCCUUGUUUUCGGUUUCUAGAAAGGGCAGGAUGAAUCUGUUCAGCUCUUUGUAAACAAUUUGCAAAAAUCUAGAAAUAAGAAAAAAUAAUUUUAUACUUUUAAUAUUGAAAAUAAAACUUGCUUGUAACAGAUCAUUUUAUAUUCAAAGAAAUAUAACAAUAAUAUUACUAUAACCAGUAACUAUAGUGCAUGAAAAUUUAAUAAAAUCACAGUGAAUAGAGCUCCACACUGCUCAGAAAAAACAUCACUUUUAAAUGAGUACAGUUUCUCUUUCUGGUUUCCUUUUUUCUG